GCAAAUGAUGAAUUACCUAUUCUUCACUUUGACCUGACUAAUCAGUGAUGAUAACCUACAGCCUGAGC